AUUGAACGCUAGCGGGAUGCCUUACACAUGCAAGUCGAACGAGUGGGAACGGGUGAGUAACACGUGGGUAACCUCCCAUCAUAGGGGAUAACACUUGGAAACAGGUGCUAAACCGAUACUGAUGGAUGGACCCGCGGUGCAUUAGCUAGUUGGUGAGGUAACGGCUCACCAAGGCCACGAUGCAUAGCCGACCUGAUAGGGUGAUCGGACACACUGGGACUAAGACACGGCGCAGACUCCUACGAGAGGGAGCAGUAGGGAAUGUUCGGCAAUGGACGAAAGUCUGACCGAGCAACGGCGGGUAAGUGAAGAAGGUUAUCGGAUCGUAAAACUCGGUUGUUAGAGAAGCGGUAUCUAACCAGAAAGCGACGGCUAACUACGUGCCAGCAGCCGCGGUAAUAG
rnacentral:rRNA from 1 species